UACAGAGGGUGCAAGCGUUGUUCGGAAUUAUUGGGCGUAAAGGGUGCGUAGGCGGUGCGGUAAGUCUGUAGUGAAAUCUCUGGGCUCAACUCAGAGUCUGCUAUAGAAACUGCCGUGCUUGAGUGUGGGAGAGGUGAGUGGAAUUCCCGGUGUAGCGGUGAAAUGCGUAGAGAUCCGGAGGAACACCAACGGCGUAGGCAGCGCCCUAGACGAGACCUGACGCUCAGGCACGAAAGCGCGGGGAGCGAACAGG
rnacentral:rRNA from 1 species